rnacentral:rRNA from 1 species
UACGGAGGAUGCGAGCGUUAUCCGGAUUUAUUGGGUUUAAAGAGUGCGCAGGCGGAUUUUUAAGUCAGCGGUCAAAUCGUGGGGCUCAACCCCAUCCAGCCGUUGAAACUGGGGAUCUAGAGUGUGCGAGAGGUAUGCGGAAUGCGUGGUGUAGCGGUGAAAUGCAUAGAUAUCACGCAGAACCCCGAUUGCGAAGGCAGCAUACCGGUGCACAACUGACGCUCAGGCACGAAAGCGUGGGUAUCGAACAGG